AAAAGACCUUUUUCAUUUCACCCCACCCAUGCAUCUCUAGCCCUAACCUCUUCACCGAGCUCUCUUCGGAUCUGCCGCACGGUCCUGUCUCGCCGCGCCUCCACCUCUCGGCGUCCCUCUCGUGCCUCGUCCCUUGUAUUCUGCUCAUUCUUUCGUGCCUAGUAUGCUCCACUGCUCGUAUUCUGCCCGCCGCACCUCUGUCCCUCGCCGCGUCGCGCCUACGUGCCUCCAUGCUUCCAUGCCUCCCUCACCGCGCCGCGCCUCCGUCCCUCGCGGCUGGUUUCUCUACCUGAAGUGCUGCUCGUCGUCCACGGUUCUGCCUCUACAACAGGUGAUAAUUUAAUUUAGAUUAUUUCCAAUUUUUUUCUCACGAUAGAUUCUUUGAUGUUGUUUAUGUGAAUUUUAUUGUUGAUUGGUUUAUUUUAACGUUGUUUAAAUGUUGAAUUUGGUUUCUGAAUAUGAAUAUGAAUUGUUUUUGUUCUUUCUUUCAAUUUUCAUUCAUCUACUUAUGAUGUUAGUGUUCAAAACACUUUAAGAUAUGCAUGUGUUCCAGUUUAUGGUAUCUCAAGAUUGAAUCUUCUGAGCUAUACUAGUUCAUUCCAAAUUUAUAUGGCUCAUUUGGCUGCAAUAUCAGAGAAGUUAUAGAGCCAAGCUCAUGUUUGUCUACAUAAAUUCUUCUUUGAGUACUAUUCUCGAAGAGCAGGGUCAACCAUUUCCACCACUUUUUUAGUCCAGACAUUGGUUUGAUACCAGGUGUAUGGUGGUGAUCGAAGAACUCCCAAAGAGAUAAAUGGACCUCACAAAGAUGAAUGGUUCAGAGGAUGAGAGGCUGCAAUAUAAGAACUGAUUUUUAGAUUAUCUGUAUUACACUGAAACUAUGUUUUCUACGAUUUUCGUUAUUAGAUUUCAAUUUUCAAUAACACAAAUUACAUAACCUUGUGAUUUUUUAUGGUGUACCAUGAUAUGAUAAAAACAUAAACCACAUUCUAUGAAUCCACACAAAUGUAAAAUAUUACGUGAUCAUAAUGAAUUUGAAUGAUGGAAACUAAAUUUUAUAUAUACUUAUUAUUCCUAUUUC